UGACUGUUUUGGAGGCCCGUGGC
rnacentral:miRNA from 1 species